CCUACGGGUGGCAGCAGUGGGGAAUAUUGGACAAUGGGGGGAACCCUGAUCCAGCCAUGCCGCGUGUGUGAAGAAGGCCCUCGGGUUGUAAAGCACUUUCAGUGAGGAAGAACGCCUGGUGGUUAAUACCCAUCAGGAAAGACAUCACUCACAGAAGAAGCACCGGCUAACUCCGUGCCAGCAGCUGCGGUAAUACGGAGGGUGCGAGCGUUAAUCGGAAUUACUGGGCGUAAAGCGCGCGUAGGUGGCUUGAUAAGCCGGUUGUGAAAGCCCCGGGCUCAACCUGGGAACGGCAUCCGGAACUGUCAAGCUAGAGUGCAGGAGAGGAAGGUAGAAUUCCCGGUGUAGCGGUGAAAUGCGUAGAGCUCGGGAGGAAUACCAGUGGCGAAGGCGGCCUUCUGGACUGACACUGACACUGAGGUGCGAAAGCGUGGGUAGCAAACAGGAUUAGAUACCCUAGUAGUC
rnacentral:rRNA from 1 species